UACGUAGGGUGCAAGCGUUGUCCGGAAUUAUUGGGCGUAAAGAGCUCGUAGGCGGUUCGUCACGUCGGCUGUGAAAUCCCGAGGCUCAACCUCGGGUCUGCAGUCGAUACGGGCGGACUGGAGUACUGCAGGGGAGACUGGAAUUCCUGGUGUAGCGGUGAAAUGCGCAGAUAUCAGGAGGAACACCAAUGGCGAAGGCAGCUCGCUGGGGACGGUACUGACGCUGAGACGCGAAAGCCAGGGGAGCGAACGGG
rnacentral:rRNA from 1 species